rnacentral:rRNA from 1 species
ACGAACGCUGGCGGCGUGCUUAACACAUGCAAGUCGAACGGUGAAGCGCCUUCCUUUUUGGUGGGUGUGGAUGAGUGGCGAACGGGUGAGUAACACGUGAGUAACCUGCCCCCUUCUUCUGGAUAACCGCAUGAAAGUGUGGCUAAUACGGGAUAUUCUGGGUCUGUCGCAUGAUGGGUCUGGGAAAGAUAUUGUUUCGGUGGGGGAUGGGCUCGCGGCCUAUCAGCUUGUUGGUGGGGUGAUGGCCUACCAAGGCGGUGACGGGUAGCCGGCCUGAGAGGGUGGACGGUCACACUGGGACUGAGACACGGCCCAGACUCCUACGGGAGGCAGCAGUGGGGAAUAUUGCACAAUGGGCGCAAGCCUGAUGCAGCGACGCCGCGUGAGGGAUGGAGGCCUUCGGGUUGUGAACCUCUUUCGCCAGUGAAGCAGGCCUGCCUCGUUUGUGGGUGGGUUGACGGUAGCUGGAUAGGAAGCGCCGGCUAACUACGUG